rnacentral:rRNA from 3 species
GGGUUGUGAGGUUAAGCGACUAAGCGUACACGGUGGAUGCCCUGGCAGUCAGAGGCGAUGAAGGACGUGCUAAUCUGCGAUAAGCGCCGGUAAGGUGAUAUGAACCGUUAUAACCGGCGAUUUCCGAAUGGGGAAACCCAGUGUGACUCGUCACACUAUCAUUAACUGAAUCCAUAGGUUAAUGAGGCGAACCGGGGGAACUGAAACAUCUAAGUACCCCGAGGAAAAGAAAUCAACCGAGAUUCCCCCAGUAGCGGCGAGCGAACGGGGAGGAGCCCAGAGCCUGAAUCAGCAUGUGUGUUAGUGGAAGCGUCUGGAAAGGCGCGCGAUACAGGGUGACAGCCCCGUACACAAAAGCGCAUGUGCUGUGAGCUCGAUGAGUAGGGCGGGACACGUGGUAUCCUGUCUGAAUAUGGGGGGACCAUCCUCCAAGGCUAAAUACUCCUGACUGACCGAUAGUGAACCAGUACCGUGAGGGAAAGGCGAAAAGAACCCCGGCGAGGGGAGUGAAAAAGAACCUGAAACCGUGUACGUACAAGCAGUGGGAGCACCCUUUGGGGUGUGACUGCGUACCUUUUGUAUAAUGGGUCAGCGACUUAUAUUCUGUAGCAAGGUUAACCGAAUAGGGGAGC